CUGCCGGGGGCUGCCUCCCGCCAUUCCUCGUCCUCCCUGGUCGGGGUGGCCCCGUCCCUCCUCCACAUGGCGCGGAGCGGGUUUGCGGCCAUACAGCUGGGGUUAACCCCGACACAGGUACUGCAGGGAGAGGUGGAGACCUCGCCUAGCCGCCUUGGGGGGAGCGGUCGAGUCACUGCUUUUCCCCUGACGGGGCGGGGGCGGCAGCGUUCCCGCGUGGCGGCAGCGCUAACGACCGGUGCCGGGCGCCCGUCGGCCUCGGUGGCGGUGAGGGGGGUGGCGGGCAGGGCAGUUCUGGUUAGGGACGAGUUUUGUACGUGCGCCUGAAAACUCAGAGGCCGAGUGUGAAAUAAAAGCUUAGAGCAGACGGUUGAGAUAGAAACCUUCGAUAUUUAUUUCUGGGGGUUUGUUUGUUUGUUUAGGGUUUGUUUUUUUUUUCUUCUUUCUCUUGCUCAGACACCUAAAAGAGGAAAAAACCCACCUCCAUGAGGUGUUCAUGGAUGUCAGGAUUUUCUAAAGUGCCCAUGAACAUUGUUGCCUUCGUGUCUUCUGGAGCUGGUGCUGCUUUUGGUGUCACCUCCAGUGACAGAGUCUCUCACCACCUUUUCAACCCAAUUUAAAAAAAAAGUUGCACAAUAUUUCUUUUUAAAGCUUAGUUUAUUGCAAGUUUUAUUUAUUUAUUACAGGGUGCUCUAAUUCUAGUCAAUUAAAACUUAUUGACUGUAUAUAGAGUAAAAAAGUCAGGUAAACUGUUCUGAUGAGAGAUUCUCGAGUCUCAUGAGUUUACAACUGUACCUCUUACAUCCAGCUAUGAACUUUCAAACUGGGACAAAGUACAAACUCGCAGCUUGGCCAAGUUAAGUCUGCUUCCUGACAGAAAUCACAGUUUCUACUACAAAUUUUUCAAAUAGCCUUGAAGUUAAUAAAAAAAAAAAAGAGGAAGCUUUUCUCUUAAAUUAGUAAAUUUUAGGAGGCCAGAAUGACUCAGAAUAGCAAUGUCCUUCCCUUAAAAGUACUCUCUUUUGCAUUAAAAAAAGGGAAAAAGAUUGUGAAUUUUAAUAGAGACCAUCUGAAAUCAGGCAUCCUCCAUUUGGAAGAAGGGAUUUCAAUGGUGUGUGUUCACUUAGGAUAGGUGCACCAGGUGAACACUGCUUCAAAGCUACUCCCCAUGACGGAAGAAUUACCUAAUAAUCUCGUUUCAUCUACAGCUUCUUUUCAUACAGUAAUACAAAAAAAAAAAUUGUGCCUAGUUUAUCUUAUGAGGUAAGCUAAGUCUUCUAAAUUGAGUUCAUGUUGUAACAAGUUUAUUUUUCCACUGUGGUUAAAAAUUCUGCAGGACCGUGCUGUCUUAUCCAGGGCAGCAACAAUGACACCUCCCCACCUACCAGUAUGCGUGGCAAUAGUUGCCUGAUAAAAUCAAGAUAUAUACUUGGUCUUCAGAAGGUGCAGUGCUGCUCCACAGUAUCUAGCAUAUGAUAUAUAGUCUACAGUUCUGUUUGCCUGUGUUUUCAAUAAAAUGUUUUAAACAUCAUUGUUAUUACAUUUACAUUUCAGAAAGCCUAUUUUUAUCGAUUGCUAUUUUAGAAGUUAUUAAGUUGUAUCACAGUCAACAAGAUAUAUUAAUGCAUCUAACUCAACUGUUUCUGGGAUUAUUCACAUGCUUAUGGCUAGAAAUGUUCUUAUACAGCUGCUGGAUUUGGAUCCUCACAGAUUUCCUAUGAUAGGAGGUAAUUACUUUAUUGAAAGGUGUGUAAAUUAUUUACUAGUGUUUUGAUUAAUUUGCUUUCAUGCAUGAGGAAAAAGGAAAUGUUAGCUGCAAAAUGAACAACUUCAUGACUAUUACUCUAGAAGUACAUGUUUCAGCUGCUGAGACAUCCUUUACCCCAAGCUAUUUAAGAAACUCCUAGUUCUCACAAUCCAUAAGCAAAGGGGCUGAAUCAUUAGCUACAUUUGCUGACAUAUAUUACCCAACGUAAGAACAUUUCAGUAAUGGAAGAAACCUCAUAAUUACAUGAUUCUCAGAAAACAGAAGCUUGGCCUUGCUUACCUUUUCAAUGUUUCAAACAACAGAUGCUCCACAACGACAACAGGAUGCAGUGUGCUCGGAGCACAGUAUGUUAUCUAUGGGCGCUAACAUAUGGCAAAACAGCAGUCCUGAGGACUUCUGCUUAAAGGUGCAGAGCUGUUUUCUUGAAAACAAGGCAGGGACCAAACAUCCCGGUAAGUUUCCUGUUUUAUCACAGUUACAAAAUACUCCUUCUUUGCCAGUUGGAAAUAUAUUUCCCGUCUUCUAUAUUGUUAUGUAAUGUCUGUAGCAUACAUUUUUUAUGAUUUAGGAUAAAAGACUGUUUAAAAGUAAUCCAUUGUGUGAUAAAAAGUGAUAUAUCAGUUGUCAUAAAAAGUGAAUCUGUUUGGUAUUUAAGCCUAGUAUGACCAUAUAAAUCAAAUUCAUUAAUACUUUAAGGAAUUUGUGUCUGUUAGUUCACUAACCGUGUUUCUUCCCAUUUAUGAUCUGUACAAUAAACCUCUAAAAAUUCUUUCAUUAUUUACAGUUCCUUUAGAUCUCCAGUCUUUCCCAGCAAUAAAAGCAUGUUAAGCAAAGGGAACUGGCAAACCUGAGCCUUACAGUGAAGCUAUAUCUGGAUAAUGAUGUAAUUAACCAUCAAAAUUGUUCCAGCAGAGUAGAAAUGAUCUUGAUUUCAUCUUAAAAGAAUAUUACAUAUUUGAAUAAAUCUUUAAACCAGGUGUUUGCGGAGAAGCAAAUUAAAGCUGCUCCCUCCUGCCCUUUAAAGAAUUAAAUUCUGAGAUUCAUCUGUUGACAGUACUUGUUGACAUUCAGUGUUGCUAAUGCAAACACAAGUGCUUUUCUUAUUUUAAUGUGCAAUGUGCUAGGGAAAUAUAGCACAUGACUUCUGAGAAUUUAAGGUGCAUUCCAGGUCAAAUUUAUUCUGAAUUUGCAAGUCAAUUUGUAGGACAAAAGAGUUAUUAAUCUGCCAGAUAUGGUGUACCUCAAACAAAAUUCUUUGUUGCUUGUAACACACUUUGUAAAUAAAGGCUGUUAAGAUGGUUUAUUAAGUCAUUGCCUGACACUGGAAAAGCAUAAUUAAAAGUAACGAAGUUUUAUGGUUCAGACAGCUUAUUCAAAUACAUUUUAAAGUCUCUUUACCAACAGACUGUGUCUGGUCAGCUCAGCUUGGGGAACUCAAUAACUAAGUAAAUUAUUGAGAUUAGCAGGUUGGUGAAUGGAGUUUAAUGGCCUAAGGUACUAUUGGAAUCCAACUAGAUUAUCUGAAGCUCUUAUUCCAUUAUGAAGUUAUAAAGCUUCUUUUCACUCCAGCAAACAAUAUGAUGUGGACUAUAUCUCCUGUCCCAAUCAAGUUUAGGCUUUUUUGUGAACUAGAAGGAUGAAAUGUACUUUGAGGAGGCAUCUGCUGAUACACAUUAACUUCUUCUUGACAAAAAUGAUCGCUCUUCUGAAGGAGCAUAUGUCGGUAACCUUGCCUAAAGUAGCAAAAGUGUGGAUAAAAGAUUUACAUUUGAAAAUAUAGCCCCACUCAUUUGUUCACUUGUAAAUGGCAAAAAAAAGGAGGGGGGGGACACAAGGUACGUUGUGAACUUCACAAUCAACAAUAGAUCAAAAGACUGUGUAUCCUUUAAAGUGUCAGUCACAGCCCCUCAUUGAUAUGAUGUAUAGAUCACCUUGCUUUAUUAAUCUAAGUGCUUUUAUGUGCCAAAAACAAUCACUCUAAUAUAAUCCAGGUUACGUCAUAGCUAAUUUGUCUUCCUUCAGACCCCAGACUCAGAGAAAGGAGAGAACAGAAAGUAGGUUGAAUGACAAGGAAAUAUCAAGCUUUGUAUUAUGAUCAUAUAUCUAUAUGAUAUGUAUUAUCUAUCAAAAUACAUUAGUGCCAUCUAUCUUGUGUACUUUAAAGCACAUCACAGUGCCUCCAGUGGUCUCACAUAGCUGGCUAUUAAGGGUGCCAGAAGUCAUAUGCAAUGUCCCCUCUUGAGUGUGGAGGAACAAAUCCCUGGGUUUUGGGGGGUUUUUUGACAGCUUCUGUCUUUCUUGAGACUGUGCAGGGAAUUUAGCAAGAUCUUAUGUUCAGUGAUUCAAAAAAACUUUUGAUGGAGCUUAUGGAGUCUUCUCUGACACUUUUGCCUCCACUGUGAUUAGAAGUAUUUCAUCAGGCACUGGAAGAAAAAAAAGUAUAAAUUCUUGUGUUUUUCUGAAUUUGAAUUUACAGGUAUCAAAGGAAUAAAAAAACCCCUAAAUCUAGCAGUACAAAGCCCAUCUUCAUACAUUUCUUCAAAAUCUAAAGCUCAAAAGAUACCAGUAUUUGGGAAGGUCCAGCUGAUUUCUUAGGGAAGGACCUAAAAAGCUUGCUUGAGCAGAGCAUCUUGCCUUCCUUGUUGUUUAUUGAUUCUUGCGGCUAACUGGCCAAGCUUGUCACGCUUCUAUCAGCUGAUGAAAAUUUAAGACAGAAUCAGCUUAAGAUGUAUGGGCUUUGCCUCCCACUGAUACUGUUCCUAAAGAAUGAUACCUGGCUAGAUGUUUUUGUCCAGUUCAUGCAUCAAAAAACAUCGGGGUCUAUGACUGUUGAAGGAAACAGUGUUUUUCACAGACACUAUACACACAAAGAUACACAGACACACACACACAUAGAGUGAUUGUAAAAUCCAUAUUUAUUUUUUAAAGUGUCAUUCUGUUUAGAAAGAUGACCAUUCACAGCUUUUUACUCAGCAAAUUUGAAACAUGCUUAUACUAAAAAUCAUGUCUGAAAUCUAUUGGCAAAAAAUAUAUUUUAUGAAUAUCUACUUUAUAAGCUCUGCAAAAAUAAGGCUGGAGGAGAGGAAUCCAAACCUUUUUCUAGUUCUUUUAUCGCCAGAAUUAUCUCGAUUCCAACAUUUAUUGUUGGUGACAGCACAGGAGAUACACAGAACAGAGCUGACUUUCAGAGCCCAGUGUGAAAUUUCUAGGCUGAAAGUGCUUUUUUCAAGUUGCAUGCUGAAGCCAUUUCUCUGGCAAUGACAAACAAACCAUUCACAGGGGGUGAGAGGGUGGGACAACUGUGAUUCAAAAUCAACCUCUUAUAUUAAGUUCCUGCUGACGUCACUCAGACUCACCAUCCUGACUUCUAAUCUUCCCAUAAAUGGAUGUGUGCCUUGUAUGCAGAAAAUGUUAGAGUCUUCAUUAGCUGGGGAGCUGCCCUGAGAGAAGGGGGUGAGGUGUGUAUGUGUGCAUGCAUGCACAGGUAUUUGUCAUAGUGCCAUUCAUACAGUUUUCACCAUCUCCUCAGAGUCAUAUUUUCAUCAGGGUUGUUUACCAUGCUGUCCACAGGAUACCAUAAAGAGGUUUCAUCAGCUUUUUAGCAUGCUUAGUAAAAGUCUUUUUUUUUUUUUUUUUUUAAAAUGUGAAUGUUUGCUAGAUCUUACGACAUGGAGUUGCUGUGUGGGAAAGCAGCAGUUCUUGGUGGUUAUUCAGAAGCUUUGGUGCUAAAGUGCUGAUUUAGCACACUAAGGAGUGGCUGAGUAAAGAAAAGAAAAUCAGUGAUGACAGAAUACAGUUUUUCUCCCAGAGUUGCCGCAAUGCUUUCUACUGCAUCACUCCAGCUAUCAAACCAUCUGGAAGAAUCAAUUCUGUCUUGAUGCCUACCAAAGUGGUGAAUAAUGUGGGCGAAGACAAAAGAACAGUGAGAACAAUUUAUGAAAACCCUUUUAUUUCUGAUAUUAAGAAGACAUGGAUUAAUCUUCAAAGCUACUCUUCAUCCUUUUGACCAUUGAACUUCUAAGUUCUUCUUCACUAGACAUCAACGAUCUUGUUGUUUUCCUAAUUUUUUUGAGAACAUUAUAGAGCAUUGCCAGAAAUAAAAGAGAAAAAAUGAAAUAGUGGAA